rnacentral:rRNA from 1 species
AGUGAACGCUGGCGGUAGGCCUAACACAUGCCAGUCGAACGGCAGCACAGUAAGAGCUUGCUCUUACGGGUGGCGAGUGGCGGACGGGUGAGGAAUACAUCGGAAUCUACUUUUUCGUGGGGGAUAACGUAGGGAAACUUACGCUAAUACCGCAUACGACCUACGGGUGAAAGCAGGGGAUCUUCGGACCUUGCGCGAUUGAAUGAGCCGAUGUCGGAUUAGCUAGUUGGCGGGGUAAAGGCCCACCAAGGCGACGAUCCGUAGCUGGUCUGAGAGGAUGAUCAGCCACACUGGAACUGAGACACGGUCCAGACUCCUACGGGAGGCAGCAGUGGGGAAUAUUGGACAAUGGGCGCAAGCCUGAUCCAGCCAUACCGCGUGGGUGAAGAAGGCCUUCGGGUUGUAAAGCCCUUUUGUUGGGAAAGAAAAGCAGCAGGUUAAUACCCUGCUGUUCUGACGGUACCCAAAGAAUAAGCACCGGCUAACUUCGUG